CGGACGGGUGAGUAAUGUCUGGGAAACUGCCCGAUGGAGGGGGAUAACUACUGGAAACGGUAGCUAAUACCGCAUAAUGUCUGCGGACCAAAGCGGGGGACCUCCGGGCCUCGCGCCAUCAGAUGAACCCAUAUGGGAUUAGCUAGUAGGUAAGGUAACGGCUUACCUAGGCGACGAUCCCUAGCUGGUCUGAGAGGAUGAUCAGCCACACUGGAACUGAGACACGGUCCAG
rnacentral:rRNA from 1 species